rnacentral:rRNA from 1 species
ACGCUAGUACAGGUGGUGCAUGGCUGUCGUCAGCUCGUGUCGUGAGAUGUUGGGUUAAGUCCCGCAACGAGCGCAACCUUACCCUUAGUUGUUUUCCCGAAAGGAUUACCCUCUAAGGGGACUGCCCCGGACAACGGGGAGGAAGGUGGGGAUGACGUCAAGUCCGCAUGCUCCUUACGUCUAGGGCUACACACGUCCUACAAUGGGGUCGACAGUGGGAUGCAAAGCCGCGAGGUGGAGCCAAUCCCCAAACGGCCUCUCAGUUCGGAUAGUAGUCUGCAACUCGACUACUUGAAGUCGGAAUCGCUAGUAAUGGCGGAUCAGCAUGCCGCCGUGAAUACGUUCCCGGGUCUU